rnacentral:lncRNA from 1 species
GGAGUUAGCGACAGGGAGGGAUGCGCGCCUGGGUGUAGUUGUGGGGGAGGAAGUGGCUAGCUCAGGGCUUCAGGGGACAGACAGGGAGAGAUGACUGAGUUAGAUGAGACGAGGGGGCGGGCUGGGGGUGCGAGAAGGAAGCUUGGCAAGGAGACUAGGUCUAGGGGGACCACAGUGGGGCAGGCUGUCCCUACUGCCUGGUGGAGGGGGAACUUGACCUCUGGGAGGGCGCCGCUCUUGCAUAGCUGAGCGAGCCCGGGUGCGCUGGUCUGUGUGGAAGGAGGAAGGCAGGGAGAGGUAGAAGGGGUGGAGGAGUCAGGAGGAAUAGGCCGCAGCAGCCCUGGAAAUGAUCAGGAAGACCAAGGGCUGUGAACCCGCCUGGGGAUGAGGCCUGGUCUUGUGGAACUGAACUUAGCUCGACGGGGCUGACCGCUCUGGCCCAGGGUGGUAUGUAAUUUUCGCUCGGCCUGGGACGGGGCCCAGGCCGGGCCCAGCCUGGUGGAGCGUCCAGGUCUGGGUGCGAAGCCAGGCCCCUGGGCGGAGGUGAGGGGUGGUCUGAGGAGUGAUGUGGAGUUAAGGCGCCAUCCUCACCGGUGACUGGUGCGGCACCUAGCAUGUUUGACAGGCGGGGACUGCGAGGCACGCUGCUCGGGUGUUGGGGACAACAUUGACCAACGCUUUAUUUUCCAGGUGGCAGUGCUCCUUUUGGACUUUUCUCUAGGUUUGGCGCUAAACUCUUCUUGUGAGCUCACUCCACCCCUUCUUCCUCCCUUUAACUUAUCCAUUCACUUAAAACAUUACCUGGUCAUCUGGUAAGCCCGGGACAGUAAGCCGAGUGGCUGUUGGAGUCGGUAUUGUUGGUAAUGGUGGAGGAAGAGAGGCCUUCCCGCUGAGGCUGGGGUGGGGCGGAUCGGUGUUGCUUGCCUGCAGAGAGGGUGGGGAGUGAAUGUGCACCCUUGGGUGGGCCUGCAGCCAUCCAGCUGAAAGUUACAAAAAUGCUUCAUGGACCGUGGUUUGUUACUAUAGUGUUCCUCAUGGCGAGCAGAUGGAACCGGGAGACAUGGAGUCCCUGGCCAGUGUGAGUCCUAGCAUUGCAGGAGGGGAGACCCUGGAGGAGAGAGCCCGCCUCAAUUGAUGCCUGCAGAUUGAAUUUCCAGAGGCUUAGGAGGAGGAAGUUCUCCAAUGUUCUGUUUCCAGGCCUUGCUCAGGAAGCCCUGUAUUCAGGAGGCUACCAUUUAAAGUUUGCAGAUGAGCUUAUGGGGGGCAAUCUUAAAAAGUCCACAGCAGAUGCAUCCGGCUCGAGGGGCCAUCAGCUUUGAAUAAAUGCUUGUUCCAGAGCCCAUGAAUGCCAGCAGGCACCCCUCCUUUCCUGGGGUAAAGGUUUUCAGAUGCUGCAUCUUCUAAAUUGAGCCUCCGGUCAUACUAGUUUUGUGCUUGGAACCUUGCUUCAAGAAGAUCCCUAAGCUGUAGAACAUUUUAACGUUGAUGCCACAACGCAGAUUGAUGCCUUGUAGAUGGAGCUUGCAGAUGGAGCCCCGUGACCUCUCACCUACCCACCUGUUUGCCUGCCUUCUUGUGCGUUUCUCGGAGAAGUUCUUAGCCUGAUGAAAUAACUUGGGGCGUUGAAGAGCUGUUUAAUUUUAAAUGCCUUAGACUGGGGAUAUAUUAGAGGAAGCAGAUUGUCAAAUUAAGGGUGUCAUUGUGUUGUGCUAAACGCUGGGAGGGUACAAGUUGGUCAUUCCUAAAUCUGUGUGUGAGAAAUGGCAGGUCUAGUUUGGGCAUUGUGAUUGCAUUGCAGAUUACUAGGAGAAGGGAAUGGUGGGUACACCGGUAGUGCUCUUUUGUUCUUGCUUCGUUUUUUUAAACUUGAACUUUACUUCGUUAGAUUUCAUAAUACUUUCUUGGCAUUCUAGUAAGAGGACCCUGAGGUGGGAGUUGUGGGGGACGGGGAGAAGGGGACAGCUUGGCACCGGUCCCGUGGGCGUUGCAGUGUGGGGGAUGGGGGUAUGCAGCUUGGCACUGGUACUGGGAGGGAUGAGGGUGAAGAAGGGGAGAGGGUUGGUUAGAGAUACAGUGUGGGUGGUGGGGGUGGUAGGAAAUGCAGGUUGAAGGGAAUUCUCUGGGGCUUUGGGGAAUUUAGUGCGUGGGUGAGCCAAGAAAAUACUAAUUAAUAAUAGUAAGUUGUUAGUGUUGGUUAAGUUGUUGCUUGGAAGUGAGAAGUUGCUUAGAAACUUUCCAAAGUGCUUAGAACUUUAAGUGCAAACAGACAAACUAACAAACAAAAAUUGUUUUGCUUUGCUACAAGGUGGGGAAGACUGAAGAAGUGUUAACUGAAAACAGGUGACACAGAGUCACCAGUUUUCCGAGAACCAAAGGGAGGGGUGUGUGAUGCCAUCUCACAGGCAGGGGAAAUGUCUUUACCAGCUUCCUCCUGGUGGCCAAGACAGCCUGUUUCAGAGGGUUGUUUUGUUUGGGGUGUGGGUGUUAUCAAGUGAAUUAGUCACUUGAAAGAUGGGCGUCAGACUUGCAUACGCAGCAGAUCAGCAUCCUUCGCUGCCCCUUAGCAACUUAGGUGGUUGAUUUGAAACUGUGAAGGUGUGAUUUUUUCAGGAGCUGGAAGUCUUAGAAAAGCCUUGUAAAUGCCUAUAUUGUGGGCUUUUAACGUAUUUAAGGGACCACUUAAGACGAGAUUAGAUGGGCUCUUCUGGAUUUGUUCCUCAUUUGUCACAGGUGUCUUGUGAUUGAAAAUCAUGAGCGAAGUGAAAUUGCAUUGAAUUUCAAGGGAAUUUAGUAUGUAAAUCGUGCCUUAGAAACACAUCUGUUGUCUUUUCUGUGUUUGGUCGAUAUUAAUAAUGGCAAAAUUUUUGCCUAUCUAGUAUCUUCAAAUUGUAGUCUUUGUAACAACCAAAUAACCUUUUGUGGUCACUGUAAAAUUAAUAUUUGGUAGACAGAAUCCAUGUACCUUUGCUAAGGUUAGAAUGAAUAAUUUAUUGUAUUUUUAAUUUGAAUGUUUGUGCUUUUUAAAUGAGCCAAGACUAGAGGGGAAACUAUCACCUAAAAUCAGUUUGGAAAACAAGACCUAAAAAGGGAAGGGGAUGGGGAUUGUGGGGAGAGAGUGGGCGAGGUGCCUUUACUACAUGUGUGAUCUGAAAACCCUGCUUGGUUCUGAGCUGCGUCUAUUGAAUUGGUAAAGUAAUACCAAUGGCUUUUUAUCAUUUCCUUCUUCCCUUUAAGUUUCACUUGAAAUUUUAAAAAUCAUGGUUAUUUUUAUCGUUGGGAUCUUUCUGUCUUCUGGGUUCCAUUUUUUAAAUGUUUAAAAAUAUGUUGACAUGGUAGUUCAGUUCUUAACCAAUGACUUGGGGAUGAUGCAAACAAUUACUGUCGUUGGGAUUUAGAGUGUAUUAGUCACGCAUGUAUGGGGAAGUAGUCUCGGGUAUGCUGUUGUGAAAUUGAAACUGUAAAAGUAGAUGGUUGAAAGUACUGGUAUGUUGCUCUGUAUGGUAAGAACUAAUUCUGUUACGUCAUGUACAUAAUUACUAAUCACUUUUCUUCCCCUUUACAGCACAAAUAAAGUUUGAGUUCUAAACUCAUUAGAAUUGUUGUAUUGCUAUGUUACAUUUCUCGACCCCUAUCACAUUGCCUUCAUAACGACUUUGGAUGUAUCUUCAUAUUGUAGAUUUAGGUCUAGAUUUGCUAGCUCCAAGUAAUUAAGGCCAUGUAGGAGAGCAUGGUAACCACAGAUAGAACUGGUAUUAUCCCAAGUGGUCUGCAGACUGCUGAGUGGGGAUGGGAUCUGCUCUCUGUUGAGAGUUGGUAAUCAUUGGUUUGAAAUGUGAUGAAACCACUCAAGCCAAUGAAGGUGGGUGUGUAGGUGGGGAGUACUUUGCCAUAAUAUUUUAAAACAUUACCUGGUUAGAGUUCUAAGUGGUACUUAUUUUUGUUUGGUUAGGGGAAAGCCUGAAUAAAAACAGAAAUGGACACAUAAUAUGCAUAUUCCAUAGUCUUUGGGAGGCUGGAAUGUGCCUGGGAUUUGGGUCUAAGUGUAUGCGUAAUUCUUACCUCACUAAAGAAUUUGCCUUGUUUUUUUCCUUUUGGUGAGUGACUAAAACGUCUGGGCUUCCCUGUGUGCGUGCUACAGUAAGCAAGCAGAGGCUGUGCAAAGGUGUGAGCAGGAUCACGUGGAAUCUGGAGGAUACAUCUUGGCUUGCAAACUGCCUCUGUCUCCUGGGUGGGACUGUUCUGUCCUUGCACUGCUGUUCUGUGUUACCUCUUGGGGUGUAAGGUUUUGCUUACAGGAGACAAACUUUGGGCGUAGAAUGGAAGCCACUGCCAGCCUCUGUGCUGAGAAGGAAGGUGCUUGUUUCAAAGGGAGCAGCAAGGGAGGCUUGUUCUACUCACCUGGGCCUGUUUGCCUGAGAAGGGGAGAUAAGGGCUGAACUGGGACUAGCCAGGGGGACCAACACAAAUGGUGGGGGAUCAUGACCUGAAGGAUUCUUUCCUUCCCAUGAGCUGCAGGGCUGGUUGCCGUCCUUGCAACUGUGUCUUAUUUGCCUGUGCCGUUAUAUCUUGGUGACCCCUCCACGUGUACACUACUGACAAACGGGUGGAGUGCUGGGGAGAAGUCACUGUGCCGCCCACCUAGUAAACCUUCUGUCUGUGCUCAUGGCAUCUCCAAGAUGGGGCACUGCUGUGUGCAGAAUCCAGGGUCCUCUUUCUGCUUGCAACUCCUUUCCCUGGAUGCCCCAGAAACAAUCCAGGCCUCCUUUCCUAUCUUACCCCUUUGCUUUGCUUUUUACCCCAGCACCUCUAUAACCGCCUUCUCUUCUUUUCAGAACUCCUUGUUUCUCGUCCUGUUUUUUAUGAUUACAAAACUCUUGCUUCCACCCUGGAAGAUAACUGCUAUAGAUGCCUGUAUGUAAAUGGUGCUGUCUCCAGCAACUGGCAUGCUGAAGAAGAAUUGAUUCACGGGGUAUAAAUGUUGGGGAUUGGAAGUGGGGAUGAAAUGGCACUUGUUGAUACAGGAGCAGAGAGGUGAGGCCGACUGCUGAAGACAGCUCGCCACCCUCCUUGCCUCCACUCCAAUCCAGGGGCUGGGGCCACAUUCUUUGCCUUCAUUUAUCCUCAGAUCAGGUGAGAUCGACAGGAGGUGUUGAUGGCAGUGCCAGCAAUUAUUGCUAAUCCGUUUGCAUCCUUAUGCAUAGAUCUGAAUUCAGACUUUGUGAAUUUCCAGAGGUGUGGGUAAUAUAAUAGAAUUCAGUGAGUGGGCAUGGCUGAUCUUGUGCAAAUUAAAAGUUAUGGGGCAUAAGAAUAGCAAAAGUUGAACUUCUUUUAAAAAGGAAAGUACCCUGAGAGCCAGUAUUGGUUGAGGCUCUUCAGUAUGCCCAGGUUGGCAGCACUGAGAACCGCAGGAACGGCCUGUUGUUACAAAAAGGAGAUUGACUCAGCUGCCCUUGGUGCAUCUGACUGACUAUGACUGCUGAGAGAUUCCAAGGACCCUUAAUGCCAGGGCUAACCUCUCCAUGUGCAGUGAGACCUCUGGAGGAAGUGUCAUCCUCUGGCUUUGUGUGGUACUCAUUAUGGUGCAGUGCGGGCAUGAAAUGAAGACACCCAAAUAGGCUUACAGAUACGAUAUGUUUUAAAUGUUCGUAUUUAACAAAAACAUACUGACACUGUUUGGAAAUGGCAACAGGAAGAUAGCAAAAUGAAUACUAACAUUACGAAAAGAUGAACAGGUACAUGUUCCAAGGCAGGUGGCUGUGAACUUCCUCUGAGUGAAGGCAUCCCCUCCAGCACCUUUCAGCCUGCUAGUUAGGACGACCCGCCGCCACCCUCCAGGACCUCCAGCCCUGCACUGCCUUUCCUCUCUUUUAAAUAAUUCUUCAUUGAGUUCUAAUAUGUAAAAAAAAAAAGUUUACUGUAAAGUUUGCAAAUAAGGAAAUUUUUUUUAAAAGUCCUCAGUAAUCUUACCAGUAACAAUUGUUAUGGGCACAUUUGCUUUUGGAAGAUUUCUUUUGUAUGCAUGGGAUAAGUACAUUUUUAAACAAAAAUGGGAUUAUGCCAUAAAUUCUAUUUUGUGACUUUAAUAUAUAGUGAACACCUUUUUUAAUGAUGACAGGAUGUUCCCUUGCAUGGCUGUAUCAAUUUAAACAAUCUUGUUUCAAUGGGCAUACAGGGUAUUUUCUAGUUUUUUUUUCCUCUUAGAAAAUAAUACUUGCGAUGACUUUCCUUGUAGCUCAGACUUUUUCACGUCUGUUGUUAUCUCUUUGGGAAUGCUGAAUACAUACAUUUCGAGAAGGAAAUGACUGUUAAACUCUUAAGACUUCAGGUUCAUAUUGCUAAACUGCCCAGCAGGGAGGGAUUUUUUCAAUUAGUGUUCUCACUGGUGAGGCAAACCUGAUGCCUUCCCCUCUUCCUCAGAACCGGCUUUAUCACAUUGAAAACCUUUGCUCCUCCGACGGAUCGAGUCUGCUUUCCCUCUGGAUGUGAGCAUUGCUUUGUCUGCUGGUGACUGAACAUCUCUACCUUGUGUCAAUUGGCCAUUUGUGGUGUGUGUGUGUGUGCGUGUGUGUGUGUGUGUGUGUGUAUGAUUUUCUAAUUCCUAGUCAUUUUUCUAUUGAUUGUUUUGCAAAAGCCAUUUACAUCUUAAGGAUAUUGAUAAUCUUUUGUUAUAUUUGAUGCAAAUAUUUUUUUCCAGUUUAUAGGUUGCCUUUUAAUUUUGUGUUUCAGGUAGAUAAAAGUUAAACGAUUUUCUUAGGUUAGUUUAUCACUGUGGUUUCUGAACUUGUUAUGUGUAGAUCUUUUCCACCCCAAGAGUACAUAAAUAUUAAUCCAUACUUUCUUAUGGAACUUGUAUGGUUUCGUUUUUUACAUUUAAACCUUCUUCCCCGUGGUGUGUGUUGUGGAAUCUGUGUUUGUGUGAGGAGGGGCAUGGUGCUCUCAGAACCCACCUCCUGUGGCCAGAGAGCCCUGUCCUGUGAGGGUGGUUGUCACAGUGGCAGGGUUCAAUUCAGAAGACCUUGAGGGCAGGCUGAUGUUUCCUGAAUGGGCCCCUGGUUGUUGCUUGUCCCUGACUCUCCAUUUCCCCAUCUGAGUGGAUUUGGACCUAAUAGGGCACUGGAGCUGGUUCGAAUCCUGACUGGACUACUUGGCAACUUUAUGUCUGGGAGCAAGUUACUUAACCUCCCCAAGCCUGUGUCUGUGAAAUGCGGGUAAAUGAAUGUAGAUGUUUGGCAGCAGCUACUCCUUGUUGAGCUCUCACAGUGAACUCUCCUGCCUCUGCCCUCCUUCCCCGCCUCCCCUGGUGCCUAGCGUCAGGUCUAGCCACUUCCUCCUGGGCCCCUCUCCCUUUUCUGUGGCUGGCUGCCUGCCCGCCUGGCGCUGGACCUUUCAUGUAACGGGAAUCAGCAUGUAUAUUCUGGUCUGGUCUGUUUCUACACUUAAUUUUGUUUCCAGUAGUAUUUCCCUGUACCGGCAGAGUUCACAAACACAUUUGAAGAGGCUUUUUCUCAGGAUUCUUAACCUUCCCAAAGGAAGUCCCAUGGAUGGGUUUCUAGAAGUCUAUAAAUGCUCUGAAAUUGUAUUUUUCUGUGGAAAGCAUAACUUUCAUCUGCUUGUUCGUGCUCAAAAAAGAUCAUGAAUGAAUGAUUGCAUGAUUUUAUGCCAUUGUGCUUAUACUAAAGGAUAUGUAGCCCAUCUCUUGAGCUGUUAAACUGUUUUGACUACUUUAAAUCGUGCAGCUGUGAGCAUCUCUGUAAAUUUAGUGUACACAUGUAUCCCCUGGAGUGGCAUUGCCUCGGCAGUGAGCACUUAUGGUUUUAUAACUCUCUUCACAGACUCAAAUGACUCCAGAAAGCUACACUUCCUGUUGUGAGUAUAUGAUAUCCAUUUCCCUACAUAGCCACUAACAUCAGGUUUUUACAAUUUUAUUUAUUUCUUGCUACUUUAAGAAAUUUUUGUGGUGAAAUACAUAUAAUAGAAGUUGACUAUCUGAAUCAUUUUUAAGUAUACAUUCAGUAGUGUUAAGUAUGUCGCCAUUGUUGUACAACCAAUCUCCAGAACUUUUUCAUCUUGCAAAACAAACUCUGUACCCAUUAAAUAACAUUAAACAUUCCAUUCCCUCCAGCCUCAGCAACCCCAUUCUACUUUCUGUUUCUGUGAGUUUGACUAUUCCAAGCACUUCAUAUCAGUUAAAUCAUGAAGUAUUUGUCUGUCUGUGACUGGCUUAUUUCUCUGAGCACAGUGUCCUCGAGAUGCGUCUAUGUUGUAGCAUAUGUCAGAAUUUCCUUCCUUUUUAAAAGAUCCAAAUAAUAUUCUUAUUUUAUAUCUUUUUUUUAUCCAUUCAUCCAUUAGUGGACACUUGGGUUGCUUUUGGCUAUUGUAAAUAAUGGUGCUAUGUACAAAUAUCUAUAUUAUUGUAUUUACAAGUAUAAUGCUGUAAUGUACACACAUCUUUUUGAGAUCCUACCUUCAGUUCUUUUGAGUAUAUAGCCAGAAGUGGUAUUACUAAAUCUUACGAUAUUUCUAUUUUUAAUUUAUUGAGGAACCACUGUAGUUUUUCAUAGCAACUGCACCAUUUUACGUUCUCACCAAGAGUGCACAAGGGUUCCGAGGUUCCCACAUCCUCCCCAACACUUGUUAUUUUCUGCUUUUUUUAGAUUGCAGCCAUCAUAGUGGGUGUGAGGUGACAUUUCAUUGUGGUUUUGAUUUGCAUUUCCCUAAUGAGGAGUGAUGCUGAGCAUCUUUUCAUAUGCUUACUGGUCAUUUGUAUGUUGUCUUUGGAAAAAUGUCUAUUCAAGUCCUUUGACUAUUUUAAAAAUUGGGUUAUUAGAGUUAUCGUUGUUGUUGACUUGUAGGAGUUUCUUUCUAUAUUCUGGAUAUUAAUCCCCUAUCAGAUAUAUGAUUUGCAAAUAUCUUCUCUUAUUCCAUAAGGUUACUUUUUCACUUUGUUGAUUGUGUUCUUUGAUGUAUAGAAGUUUUUAGUUUUGAAAUAGUCUAAUUUAUCUGUUUUUACUUUUGUGGUCUGUGCUUUUGGUGUCAUAUCCAAGAAAUCCUUGCCAAAUCCAACGUUAUAAGGUACUUUUAAGGUAUUUUAGUUGUCUUAGUCUAUAUUUCUGUACUCACCUUUCUUUAUCCACUCAUCAGUUGAUGGGCAUGUAGGUUGGUUCCAUAUCUUUGCAAUUCUGAAUUGUGCUAUGAUCAGGUGUCUUUUUAGUAUAAUGAUUUACUCUCCUUUGGGUAGAUACCCAGUAGUGGGAUUGCUGGAUCGAAUGGUUUUUAUAAUUUUCUAUUUUACCACAGUUUCUCUCUGCAUUUUUCCUCUUUGACCACUAACCAUGUGAAAUUCUCAUAUUGACCUUUAUAAUGAUCAUGAACUCUUAGUAUCAUUGGGAAGGCCACAUUUGCCACUUAUGAUUGUAAACCUUAUCCUCCAUUUUUCCUGUUAUUGUUGGUGCAAAAAGCACCUAUUAUACCAGGACUUUAAAAAUCAGUCUGAUAAGUCUUUGAUAAGUCUAAUAAUAAUAACUGAUAAGUCCAUUGAAUUUGCUUCUGAUUACUUUUUCUUUAGUAGCUAAACAUGUAUGUACUCCUAUGAUUACAAUGAACACUCCUCUCCAUUUAAAUUAAUUAUUUACAUUGAUGAAAUAGCAAAAUGUUAAUGACUAAAUACUGUCUUGGUUUUUUCGUUCCAGGUCAGUCAAUAUUAACUUCUUAUAAUUUUCUUUUUUUUCUUUAUGUGUGUGUGUGUGUGUAUUUUUUUUUUUUUAAUUUCAAUGGCUUUUGGGGUACAAAUGGCUUUUGGUCAUAUAGAUGAAUUCUACAGUAGUGAAGUCUGAGAUUUUACUGCACCGGUCACCUGAGUAGUGUACAUUGUACCCAAUAUGUGGUUUUUUAUACCUUGCCCCCCUCUUACCCUCCCCACUUUGAGUCUCUAGUGUCCAUUAUGUCACUCUGUAUACCUUUUUGUACCCAUAAGUUAGCUCUCACUUAUAAGUGAGAACACACAGUAUUUGGUUUUCCAUUCCUGAGUUGCUUCACUUAGAAUAAUAUCCUCCAGCUCCAUCCAAAAUUGCUGCAAAAAAAAAAAAAACCACAAACAUUAUUUUGUUCUUUUUUAUUGCUAAGUCAUAUUCCAUGGUGUAGAGAUACCACAUUUUAUUUAUCCACUCACUGGUUGAUGGGUUGGUUCCACAUCUUUGCAAUUGUGACUUGUACUGCCAUCAAGUGUCUUUCUGGUAUAAUGACUUCUUUUCCUUUGGGUAGAUACCCAGGAGUGGGAUUGCUAGAUCAAAUGGUUCUUAACAUUUUCUCUCUGGAUCUAUUUCUGGAAAUUUUAGGCUCCAGUUUUUGUUGUUGUUGUUAAUAAAAUGCAAUGGAAUGUAAUGAUCAUCACUUUUCAUUAUGCUUUAAAAUCUGGUAAAUGGAGGCUAGAACACUCCUGUAAGGCAAGAAUAUUCUCUCUGUUGGAACUCAAAUACACAGAACUGGGUAAAUCUCAAUCUUAAUCUUUGAUUCAGGACACAACAUGGCUCUCUUUUACUUGCUUUCUUUAAUUGUUUUUUAAUAAUGUGGUAAGCAUUUCUGAAUCUCCUAUCCAAUACAAAAACUAGGACAAUACAGACAGUAACUCCUAUGGUUACAAUGAACACUCCUCUCCACUUAAAUUAAUUAUUUACACUGAUGAAAUUGAAAUAGCAAAAUUUUAAUGACUAAAUACUGUCUUUGAUUUUUUGUUCCAGGUCUGUCAAUAUUAACUUCUUAUAAUUUUCUUUUUUUUUCUUUAUGUGUGUGUGUGUGUGUGUAUAUAUAUAUAUUUAAUUUCAAUGGCUUUUGGGGUACAAAUGGCUUUUGGUCAUAUAUAUGAGUUCUACAGUAGUGAAGUCUGAGAUUUUACUACACCUUCCACUUAUGUGGUCCCACACCACCCGCCUCCCCUGCCGCCUCCUGCCACCCCCUAGGCCAAGGUAAUAAUCAUCCUGAAUCCUGGGUUUAUCUCUCACUUGCUUUCUUUUCAUAUAAUUUUGCAAAAGAAUCUGAUCUAAAUGUGUUUUUCAGAGUAUAUAUUUAUAUUUUAGCUGUUCUUAGAGAAAAUUUAUUAUUUUGCAUGUAAUCUUAUGGAACAUUCUCAUUUAAUACCAUGGUAAGAUUCAGCCCUUGCCCAGGGGAUAGUUCAUUUAGUUUGUUUACUGGAUAGAGCUCAUCAUGUGACUAUACCUCAGUUAGUUUAUCAGUUCUCCCAUCCAUGGUGACUAGGUUGCCUCUCAGCCUCUCAACAACACUGUUUCUCAGUGUCCUUGUAGAAGUGAUAUGUGGGUGUUUUCUCCUUACACAGAGUUGAAAGGUGACGACAACAACGUUGGCACUACCAAUCCCCCACCCUCCAGAGGGGUAACCAGUGUUACCAGUUUGCUGUGUUUCCUGCUACACCUCGCCUUAUUCACUUCCAUUUGUAUCUGAAAAACGUGUUGCAUGGUUUCUUUUCUAUAGAAGUGGUAAAAUGCUAUUGUGUCCUGUACAUUAUUGAUUACUUUUUUUCAUUUAACAGUAGGGAGAUGCCUGGGAGUACACAGAGAACUGCCCUCAUUGUUUUCAACUUCUGCACUGUAUGUCUGUGAGUUUAGCCAUUCUGCUGUUAAUGGAAAUUUACAGUAUUCUAAUCUUUUGAUAUUACAAACAGUUCUGUGCGAUCAUCGUCAUACACAACCCCUUGUGCACAAUGCAUGAGUGUUUCUCAGGGUAGGUACCAAGAAGUGAAAUUCCUGGGUCAUAGGGCGUGAGUCCGACAUUUUUCUCCAUUCUGCCCUGUUGCCCUCCAGAGUGGGUGUCCAGCUUUGCAUACCUAAGUAUGAGAGUAUCUGUUGUUCAUAUCCUCUACGACGCUCCAUAUAUGAAACUUAAGUUUCUGCUAGUUGCCAUCUUUGAUCUAUCAUGUAUGCAGUGACCUACUAAGACUGUAAUUGGUACAGUAGAUUCUUGUCAUCUGUGUGUGAAUUUAGCAUUCAUGGGCUUAAUGCUGACAAGGCCCCCAGGGUCCAAGACAUAUAAUCAUGUAUAAUUUUGUCAAGGUAUAAUUUUUUAAAUUGCUUUUGUCAUGUGUCUGCUGGUGAUGCCCAACCCAGUGCUCUGCACCCAGGUCACACUGUGGCUUUGUCCUCUGCUUAUGCCUGCAUUGCAGCAACUGUCCUGAAGAGACCAAAAUUAUGCAGAUUUAGGUAAGUCCAUGGCUAAUGUUAUUAUAUUAUGUGCUAUUGUAAUGGAUGGGGCUGUGGAGUGUAUGAAUUUAUAAAUCACUGGUCUUGUAAUUAAAAUUCAAACACUAUAGAAAAAGGCCAUGUAGAAGAUAAAAGUUCCUCUAUAAUCCCGGACCCCUAAGAUAACUACUAAUGACAACUUCAUUUAUAUUCCUUCAGACAUUUUCUGGCUGUGGAUGUACUAAAAUGUAUCCUAUUAUUCUCUGCCCUAAAAUGGAAUCAUACAAGGUGUACUGUUAUUUUUAUGGCUCUAUAACAUGUCAUAUUGUACGUGUUGGUAUGGUCAUUUUAACCAUUUUUCUAGUGAUGGCUUUGAGGUUAUUUGCAGUUUCCUAGCCAUCUCAAAGUGUGCUGCGGGGAUCUCUUUUGCAUCCCUCUGGGUGCAGAGCUGAGGCACCCAGAGGCAGUGUCCAGAGGAGGCAGCAUCUGUAGGUGUCUUCACCUGCUCUGGCUCUUGGCACAUCUGGUUGGUGACACUGUUUUGUGAGAUGGGUUGAAAGCACGUGCUGCCAAAAUAGAAUAAUGUUGGUCCUCUCCUCAUGUGCCGUGGAACUGGGGUAAAACUGCGUAGUGGCUGCAGCUGCCUGUCCAUACCGGAAUCGAGUAUAACACGGUGCCUGGCUUAGCACAAAACAGUAGUGGGUCCUGCAGGCCCCAGAGUCUAAUUCCUGGUAUUCUUUCCCCUACACAGAUUAAAUAAACCAAAAACAAACUAUUCUAGGAAAGCGUCUGUGACAUUUGUAAAAAGUGGUAUUUAAUGAUCUUUUAUUCACUUGUCUGUUUAGUUUGUUGAAAUCUUAAGUGGCAUCCUGGUCUGGGAAGGAGUGCUGUCUGCGCCUGCCCUCCGCUGGGCACAGCGUGGCUGCUUCAGGGGCUAAGCACACACUUUCUGUCUUCUAAAGGGCCGCCACAUGCCAGGAGCUCAGGUGUGAGCCCGGCUCUGGCUCUUACCUCAUAGGGUCACUCAUAGGGGCACAGGGAGCAGAACAUUGUACACAGCGAGGCACCACCCGGCUUGGCAUCUGCCUCGGUGGACUUACUACCUCUAGAAGGAAAUACCUGAGUUCCUCUGGCCUCAGCUCCUAGAGUGACUGGUGUGCUGUCCCUGUUACUCUUCUGUCAAGGUGACAACUGUGUGACCCAUCAUCUGUGUGUCAAAGCAAGGCCCUGCCUGGGCCUCUGCUCCUGUGCUGACCCCAAAGGCAAAUGCUUUGCUAGUUUCCUUCCAGUUAAUUUCACCUAUGAAUAGAUGUGUGAAAACUGUUCAAAGCCAUACCUGCACAUGUUUGAACUUCAAACCCUGUGGGUGAUUCAGUGGCAUCUUUCUCUAACCCCCAGCCUCCCUUCCCACAGAGGCCACCGUCAUGGCCAGUUGCUGCAGUUUCUUUCCAGAGAACCUGUGUAUGUGUAAAGCUGUACAGGCGUGGGUACACCACACAGCCUGUCUUGCACUGUGGACUGUUGAGUUACUAGUACAUCUAGGUAAGCACCGCAUAUCUGUAUUCAUGUCUGCCUUGGUCUUUUCAACAUCUGUGUGGUAGCCGUGUUUGAAUUACCCAUUCCCUUUUUGGGGAACCAUUAAGUUGUUUCAGCAAUUUUUACUGUAGAUAAGGCUAUACCGCAUAUCUGUGUACAUGGGUUUUUAUGUACAUGGGCAAGUAUAUCUGUGAGAGAAAAGUUUCCUCAGGAGGAAUUCUGGGCACAGCAUGUGUAAAUUUCUAAAUAUGAUGGACACCCCCAGCUUCCACCUCAAGGAGGUUGGUCCCAUUGACAUUUCCCCACACCUUCACCCAGGCUGUGCCCUUAAACUUGGUUAUUUGUCAAUGUGAGAAGUGGAAAAUAGUAUUUAAUUGUAGUUUGGAUUUGUAUUUCUAUUGGGUUGUAUACUUACUGAUUAAUAAUAAGAGCUCUUUACAUAUUAAGGAAAUUAACCCUUUUCAAAUACAUUCCUAUUUCUCACUAAUCUUUAAGUUUUAUUGUAAUAUUUUGCUCUUUAGUUUAUAUAUAUAUAUACUAAUUUUCUUUUAUGGUUCCUGGAUUUUGUGAGUAGUUUGAAAAGGCUAAUCCAGCUGAAGAUUUUGUUGUUGUUGUUAAACCCCAUGUUUUCUCCUAACUCUUUUUAUUUUUAUUUUGGAGGACUCUAUCUAGACUUAAUUUUAGCAUAACAAGUGACAGGGUUAGUUAGCCUGUUGUCCUUACACCAUUUUCUGGCUAAUACAGCUAUUAACUAUUGAUCUGUCUAUUCACGUGCCAGUUCCUAAUGGUUUUACAUAGUGUAAUCUGCACUUCAAAAUAGCGAAGGGAAGCCCUACCUCAUUAUUCUACUUUUCCAGAAUUCUCCUGGCUAUUCCAGGCUGCAUGUUUACCUUAACCUUCCCUGUGAUGUCUUCAUGCCGUUGUCUUCUUAUGCAAGAAUAAGGUACGUCUUUCCAUCCACUCACGUCUAUUUAAUUUGACUUUGCAUUACACAGAAAGCUGGUCUUGGUCUGUCUACCUCGGCAUCUAGUUGUCCUCACUGCCCCCUAGCCGACCCCACCCCAUCUGACUGACUACCCCAUCACAGAGUACUUUUAUUUACGUUUUGCUCUGCCUAAUGGUUACUUGAUACUGUCACGCCGACAGUGUCCAGUUCAGUGGUCUUUGCAGUUGAAAUGCUCCCGUACACACUGUCUUGUUAAAAAUGCCAGUAAGUUCAUACAAACCCAGCUUGCACCCAAGGUCACAUUCAGAGAGCGUAGGGCUGGGAUGGGUUGUUUUCCAAGCUUCUGCCACUGUGUGGCUAGCUCUUCCCACUGGGAAGUUCUGUGUACCCGGAAUGUCGGAGUGGAGUCCUGUUCUAGUGUCCAGCACCUGACCCUGUGCCCAACCCCUCAACAGCCUAUUCCUGCUGUCCACAGCCUGCUGGAACUUUUUACAAAAUAUGUUGCCAUGCUGGACCCUGGGCACUGGACAUAAGCCCCCUGGCAGCCUUUUUCAUGUCACCCAAAGGGGUAAUUGUCCUACUGGUGGUCUGUAAGAUGAGUUAGGGUGACUUGCUAAUAGACAUUGUAAAUCUUAAUAUUUAUGUAUGUAUUUUAUUAUUACCGGUUUUCCAUUUAUGAUGGUAAUAUUGUUUCUUCUAAGAAUAUUUAUUUUUCCUUCUAAAUAUUGAGAUAAAAUUCAUGCUUUUGAAAUGUUCUAUUCAGUGGCUUUUAGUAUAUUUGCUAUGUUGUGCAACCAUCGACACUAUCCAUUUCUAGAACUUUUUCGUCAUCCCAAACAGACGCUCUGUAUUCAUAAAAAAAUAACUUCCUACCUGUCUCUCCCCCUAGUCUUUGGUAACCUUUGUUAUACUGGUAAACUUUGUUGUGCUCUCUGUCUGUGUGAAUUUGCCUAUUCUAGGGGCCUCAUAUAAGUGUAAUCAUACAGUAUUUGUCUUUUUGGGUCUGUCUGAUUUCACUUAGCGGGUUUUCAGGGUUCAUUCAUGUUGCAGCAUAUAACAGUACUGCGUUCCUUUUUCUGGCUGAAUAAUAUUCCACUGUAUGGAUAGACCCCAUUUUGUUUAUUCACACAUCAUUUGGACAUUUGGAUUAUUUCUGGUUUUUGGCUAUUAUGAACAAUGGUGCUAUGAACAGUUGCGUACAAGUUUUUGUGUGAACAUAUGUUUUCAAUUCUCUCAUUAUAUACCUAGGAGUAGAAUUACUGGGUCAUAUGGUAACUGUAUAUUUUUGAGGAACUGCCAAACUAUUUUCCCACGUCCAUGCACCAUUUCACAUUCCCACCAGUAAGUAAGAGGGUUCCAAUUUCUGCGCAUUCUUGCCAACACUAGUUAUUAUCUGACUUUCUGGUUAUAAUCAUUCUAAUGAGUGUGAAGUAGCCUCUGGUGUCAUUUGGAUUUGCAUUUCUCUGAUGAGUGAUGCUAUCAAGCACCUUUGCUGGUGCUGUUGGCCAUAUGUGUAUGUUCCCUGGAGAAGUGUCUGUGCUGAGCCUUGGCCCACUUUUUAAUUAGGCGUUUGUCUUUUUAUUACUGAGUUGUAAGAGUUCUUUAUAUAUUCUGGAUUCUAGACCCUUAUCAGAUACAUGGUUUGCAAAUAUUUUCUCCCAUUCUGUGGGUUGUGUUUUCACUUUAUCGAUAAUGUCCUUAGACAUAUAAUAAAUUUGUAUUUUAAAAGUGACUUGAUUUGGCUGUGCAAGGUGGCUCACGCUUGUAAUCCCAGCACUUUGGGAGACUGAGGUGGGUGGAUCAUAUGAGGAGGCUAGGAGUUCGAGGUCAGCCUGGCCAGCAUAGCGAAAACUUGUCUCUACUAAAAAUACAAAAAUUAGUCAGGCAUGGUGGUGCACGUCUGUAAUACCAGCUUCUCAGGAGGCUGAGGCACGAGGAUCACUUGAACCCAGGAGGAGGAGGUUGCAGUGAGCUGAGAUCAUGCCAGGGCAACAGAAUGAGACUUUGUUUAAAAAAAAAAAAAAGUGACUUGAUUUAAGGGAAAAAAUGACUGGCUAUAUUCAGUCAGAUAUGGCAAAAAGUCUCAAGGUGUUAAUGUGAAUGAUUAAGGUCUUGGGGGGGGUGUCCCCUAUCAGACUACAGGUGUUUAGAGGCACAGAAAAAGGUGCAGUUGGGUUCUUAAUGUGAAAUGAUGAGAAGCACAACUCCAGUGUGUCUCUUUGUGUAGAAUGUCAGCAGACACCCCCUGCUAGAUGUGCUGGAUCAUGGGAAAGCAUUUCCAUUUGUUACUAGAUUGUUCAGAAGUUUUAAUUUAUGAUGGGUGUGGUGGCUCAUGCCUGUAGUCCCAGCACUGUGGGAGGCUGAGGCAGGAGGAUCAUCUGAGGCCAAGAGUUCAAGAUCAGCCUGGGCAACAUAGUGAUACCCUAUCUCUUAAAAAAGAAGAAGUUUUUAAAUUUGAAAUAAUAAUAGGUACUGGAUUUAUGCAAAUGUCUUUUCUGCGUCUUUUGAGAUGAGUAUCAGGUUUUUUUUUUUCCUUUUAUCAUCUGAUGAUGAACUUAAUGUUUCCAUUUGUAUUAAUGGAAUACUAAGUCCCUCUGUGAUUUCUGAACCAAGCUAUUCCUAGGCCUGAGUUUUAUUUUGUUGACACAGAAAUAAAUUAGAAGGCCAAGCGUGGUGGCAUGUGCCUGUAGUCCUAGUUGCUGAGGUAAGAGGAUUGCUUGAGCCCAGGAGUUCAAGGCUGCAGCAAGCUUUGAUUGCGCCACUGCACUCCAGCCUUGGCGACAGACUAAGACGCUGUCUCAAAAAAAAACAAAAACGACAAAAAAAAAACAAAACAGAAAAAAUAAACUAAGGCAAUGACAGUCCCUGGCAAAUGCUGGGAGGGAGGCAGCAGUGGUCAGGGAAGGUAACCCUGAAGCAGGACUUGUAAAGCAAAUAAGAUUGGGAGGCCAAGGUGGGUGGAUCACGAGGUCAGGAGUUCGAGACCAGCCUGGCCAACAUAGUGAAACCCCGUCUUUACUAAAAAUACAAAAAAAUUAGCCAGGUGUGGUGGUGGGUGCCUGUAGUCCCAGCUACUUGGGAGGCUGAGGCAGGAGAAUCUCGAACCCAGGAGGCGGAGGUUACAGUCAGCUGAGACCGCACCAUUGCACUCCAGCCUGGGUGACAGAGCAAGAUUCCGUCUCAAAAAAAAAAAAAAAAAAAAAACCAAGAAGAAAAGGAAUGAAUUAGAACUUCUUCUGCUUGGACUUAAGGGCAUCAUCAGGCAGGUUUUGGGUAGGAUAGCAGGGGAGGCAGAGACAUAGUCGGGGUCAGUGGUCAUGAGUGUGGCUUUGAGCCCAAAAACUUGGUUUCUGUUCCCUACUUUGCCACUCAGUAGUGCAUGACUUUGGCCAAAUUUCUUAAAUUCAUGAAGCAAGUUUCCGGGUGAAUGAAAUGGGGAUAAAAAUAGUGUUCAAACCUAUCCGUUGGUUUGUGUGAAACUGAAAUGAAUAGUAUCGUGCAGGUACUUGUGAGCAAGGGGAGCUGCUGUUUCCUGUCCCUUUAUGAUGGGAAAUAUCUAGACAAGUUCCCAACCCUCUGCACUGCAGGCUGCAUGGCACGGAGGGUCUUGUAACACCAGCUGGGGCUGGCCUUCUUUUAGGAGCUUCAGUGGUUCUGAAAACUUUUAUUUGUUUGUUUGUUUUAGUAGAUGUGGGGUCUUUCUGUGUUGCCCGGACUGGUCUCAAACUUCUGGACUCAAGUGAUCCUCCCCCGCUCAACCUCCCAAAGUGUUGGGAUUACAGGUGUGAGCCACUGUGCCCAGCCUUGAAAACUUUUUCAGGUUCUUCCAGGGUUACUGGGCUAUUAAAUAUUUCUAUUUCAUUAUAAGUCAGUUUUUCAAAGUUAUAUUAUCUUAAUUACCUUUUUUAUAUGUAUUAGUGUAGAGUAGCAUUUUAUAUUUUGAUAUCCUCCUUAUGCAUAGUUUUUCACUUUUUAUUCCUAGUUUUUCGUUUUUAAUAAGACUUUCAAGAAAUUUAUUUUAUUGGCCUUUUGAAAAAAGCAGCUUUAGAUAAAGUAAGCAGUUCUGCUUUCAUUUUAUAAUUUAUUUCUACUUUUGUUUCAUUAAUCUUUUCCUCCGGCAUGCCUUGGAUUUUGUUGUGUUACUCUUUUUCUAGAGGCUCGCAUUGUGUGUCUGGUUCACUUAUGAUCACGCUUGCCUACUUUUAAGAAUGGAAGAGGGGAGGUGGAGGGUGGCUGCACAGUCGAGGGUGUGAGGCAGUCUUGCUCUAGCCCCACCAUGCCCUCAGCCCGCUGUGGCCACGCUGGUUCCUCAAUUGCUGGGGCGUGCAGUGUCUGUAAGGGAGGCUACUGAUGCCAUCCGAGGAAGAUGUAAGGUUUCGUGUGGGCAGCGAGAGCCUAGCAGGCAUGUGGGGUGCCCAGCAAAGGGUAACAGUGGACAGUUGUUGCCUCAUUCCACAGAGUUUUGAUUUUUUUUUUUUUUUUAAUGGUCACUCCAUCAACAUCCCCCAUGGCCAGAGCCUGAGCUGGUCCCCAGAGACACAGGCAUUCAGCUGACAGCCUCGCCUUCACGCUGCUGCUGUUCUCAUGGGGGACAGGCCUCAGGUGGCAAUGCACAAAUCAUUAGUUAAGGGCAGUUGUGACAGUUACCAAGGAGUGUAGUCCCCCGCCCCCCGCCCAGUGAAAACAGCCCUAACCAGGGGUGGGGACCUUUGGGCUCUGACCCGAAGGGUAGGAGAAGCUGGAAGGACAGCAUUCCUGUCUGCGAAGGCAGGAGCAAAGCUGCCAGGCUAUGAAGGAAAUGGCUGGAGCCUGAAGUCAUGCAAGCUGGGGCUGGCAGGGACAGGGCCAACUUCCAGGCCUGGGGGCCACCAUGAGGAUUCAGGACGUGACCCCCAGGGCACAUGAAGGCCUUCCAUCUGUAUUUAAGAAAAGACUUUAUCAGACGAGUAUGGUGGCUCACGCCUGAAUCUUAGCACUUUGGGAGGCUGAGGCAGGUGGAUCACGAGGUCAGGAGUUCAAUACCAGCCUGGCCAAUAUGGUAAAACCCCAUCUCUACUAAAACUACAAAAAUUAGCCAGGCAUGGUGGCGCACGCCUGUAGUCCCAGCUACUCGGGAGGCUGAGGCAGAAGAAUCACUUGAACCCGGGAGGUGGAGGUUACAGUGAGCCAAGAUCGCGCCACUACACUCCAGCCUGGGUGACAGAGUGAGACUCCGUCUCAAAAAAACCAAAAGACUUUAUCUUAUUUCCUAUAUGUUUGUGGUUUCAGUCCUGAUGUAUAAUUUGACCCUAGUUAGAAUGGUUAUCUGAGGAAGUGGCCUGUACGAUUUCUGCUUUUUUAAAUGUGUGGCUCCCUUUCUUCAUUGAUUAACGUAUGAUUAUUUUUAUAAAUGUUCCAUGGCAGUGGGAAGGGAUUCUCUGUCACAUUCCACAUCUGGAUCAGUUCCUCCCCAUUUUGUUGGUCAAAUCCGAUCUGCCAUAUCCUGUGUAAUGACAAGUGAGUUGCAUUCUCACCGUCACUCCUGGGGUCUCUCCGCUUCCCCUGAGCUGGCUCAGCAGUCUGCUCCAUGUGUUUUGAUGCAGGGUGACCCAUUGGUAUUCCCGACACUAACGCCCCCGUCUGUGGACUGCUUGCUGCUUGGGCUUCACUGUGUCUGGUGUUGACAGUGCAGACCUAAAGGUGUGCACACAUGUGCACACACACUCCGCUGUCUUCUUGUUUGCACUGGACUUAAAUAUCUAUGAGGGUUAUUUUCAACUGCUGAAUUUGGAAUGAUUUUUAUAUCUUUUCUGCUUUCUGCCCAUGUACAUGUGUUUAUUUUACACUGUUGUGAUUGGUAGUUACUAUGUGGGGACACAAUUACUUGGGCUGAAAUAAUCCACCUGUUGUGGUUGGGGUCCUCUGGGGCAUUCCAGGGUGAGAGGUUGUCACUGCCACCUGGGCCAUGUGGGCCGGCACCAGCAUUUUGUGGUUACGAAUUCUACAGUCACAAAUAUCUUUGGGCAAAUCCCCUUCUAUACCUCAAGGCAGCUUUUGGUUUGCAACCCCACUGGCCAGAGGGAAGGGCCAGUCACUUGGCUCUCUCACUGCCCUGCGCCCCAGAUGGUUCUAGGGCUGCUGUUUUCCCUUGGCCCUGCCAACACCACUGUUUUUACUUCUGCUCAUUGGCUGAGUGCAGUGGUUCCUGGAAGCCAGUGGCACGUUUCCCCGCGUAGCUCGCUUAUCCCACAGCACACACCCAAGGGUUCUGUUGCUAACACGCUGAAUUAAUUCUUUGCUCAUCUUACAGAGUGUGUUUUGACUGCCCCCAUUUCUGAGGCCUUGUAAGGCCAGAGCUUUGUUGCUUCAUCGGCAGGUUGGGACUUAGAUGGCCGUGAAUGUUUCCUCUCUGCUGCUGCAGUAAGUAAGUGCCCGCACCAUAGUGUGUUUGGAGGCUGAAGUUGAAGCGAGGCUGUGAGGGGAGAUGGACGUGUGAGGAGGGAUGAUGGGGCUUGAGCAAAGUGGGGGAGGGGGCAAAGGCAGUUGGCCCAACACAUUCCCCACCCCUUUGAGAGGUCUGAGGCCUGCAGACCUGGCUCGGAGCCCACCUGGUAGUCCUCAGACUGUGUGUGUGUGUGUGUGUGUGUGUGUGUGUGUGUGUGUGUGUGUGUGUGUGUGUGUGUAAAAGAGAGAAGUUGUGGAGAAAUGGGGGGCUGAUUCUGCUCAGAUUCAUCAGGAUGAGUAGAAGGCACCCAGCUCUCACCCUGGCCUGACAUGUGUGUCCCUGAGCAGGUUACAGUCCUCUCUGAGCCUCUGCUUCCCAUCUGGACCCUGCUGGGCAGGGCUUCUGAGCUCCUUAGCACUAGCAGGAGGGGCUCCAGGGGCCCUCCCUCCAUGGCAGCCAGGACAGGACUCUCAAAUGAGGACAGCAGAGCUCGUGGGGGGCUCCCACGGACCCGCCGUGGGCCCAGGGGAGGCAGAGCCUGAGCCAACAGCAGUGGUGCUGUGGACCGUGGAUCCUGAGGGUGGCCUGGGGCAAGUACCGGCUGAGGGUCCAGGUGGGCUUUGUGUACCUUUGGGUCCUGGGGCCCUGGUGACUUGGACUCCAGGUUAGAGUCAAGUGACAGGAGAAAGGCUGGUGGGGCCCUGUGCUUCCGACUUCAUUUCGAGUGAUGGCAGUUCCCAGGAAGGAAUCCACAGCUGACGGUGGCUGACAGAUCAGAGAAUGGAAGGCGAGGCAGGCGGGCGUCUGCGUGACCUCAGGUGCUUGGGGCCCAGCAGACCCAGAGAACCAUUUCCACUAGGCCAGGGUGCCGGAAGUGUCCACAGGUCUUAGAUUCCCUGUUCAGAUGAAAAGAUUUGUGCCUUUAAUGAUAAAAGUGAUCUGCAUAGAGUCAAAAAUUCAAGCCAUGGGUAUAAAAUGCAAGUAAAAUCCCUGCCCUCACCUAUCCCACCCUACUACACAGAGAUGUCCUCUCGAGUUUCCUAGACUCACUCUGGAAAUUUCUGUAUACACACAGAAGCUUGUGCCUCUGCUCGUGAAGGCAGAGGGAGGGAGAGCUGAAGGGCCAGCACCUUCUCACCUGUGGGCCCCCUCAGUGCUCGGUCCCAGAGCAUGCAGGACUGUGCCUCGUGUUCAGUUUGCUGGUCUGACUUCAUGCUCCUUGGGCAGGAUAUGCAUGUGCCAUGCUAGGAGACAUGUGGAUGUGAAGCUGGGGGACAAUGUCCCCUGGCUAUGCCUUUACAAGGGAAGUAAGGAAGGUAGGAGGUGAGCCUGGGAGGGAGGGAGGGAGGCGCGGAGCCGCCGCAGGUGUUUCUUUUACUGAGUGCAGCCCAUGGCCGCACUCAGGUUUUGCUUUUCACCUUCCCAUCUGUG